rnacentral:rRNA from 1 species
AACGAACGCUGGCGGCAUGCCUAACACAUGCAAGUCGAACGAGACCUUCGGGUCUAGUGGCGCACGGGUGCGUAACGCGUGGGAAUCUGCCCUUGGGUUCGGAAUAACAGUUAGAAAUGACUGCUAAUACCGGAUAAUGUCUUCGGACCAAAGAUUUAUCGCCCAGGGAUGAGCCCGCGUAGGAUUAGCUAGUUGGUGAGGUAAAGGCUCACCAAGGCGACGAUCCUUAGCUGGUCUGAGAGGAUGAUCAGCCACACUGGGACUGAGACACGGCCCAGACUCCUACGGGAGGCAGCAGUGGGGAAUAUUGGACAAUGGGCGAAAGCCUGAUCCAGCAAUGCCGCGUGAGUGAUGAAGGCCUUAGGGUUGUAAAGCUCUUUUACCCGGGAUGAUAAUGACAGUACCGGGAG